CUUGGGCACGGUUUCGAGGCGGGGUUCCGAGGAGCCGGGGGUGGGGCCAGCUUGGAGCGGAUACAGCAAAAAGGAGAGAGAGACACAGAGUAGACAGACACAAGGGAGAAGUCCGUGUGAAGAUGGAGACGGAGAUUGGAAUGAUACAGCCACAAGCCAAGAAACAUCUGCGGCCAUCAGCAGCUGGAAGAGCUCUCACCAGAGGCUGAGCAGAUGCUGAUGCCAUGCUUCUUGAUUUUCCCAGCCAACAGAAUUGUGAACUGAAUAAACCUCUCUUCUUUACAAAUUACCCAGUCUCAGGUAUCCUGUUAUGGCAACACAAAAUGGACUAAGACAGGAUGUCGCUAUCAAUCACGCUUCGACUGAGUACAGCCAAACCAGGAUACUCAGGGAAUUGGAACCUGUUAUCAGACUUCCAUUUAGUACAGACACAGCGCCAGGGGGCUGAGCAUUCUUCGGCAACACCCUUUGGACCCCUUCUCUACACCAAUGCUGUGUGACCUGAAGGGCUGGGGACAUGAAGGAGCAGCUCAGCUAAGGUGACCCAGAUGGUUGGGCUCGGAGCUGGAAGAACACUGUGGUCUCCUACCUCCCAAUUCCUGCAUCUGUCCUGCUUGUAAGAGGCUUGCCAAGAACAGGAGCUCUUGUUUGUAGGUCUCUAGGGAUGGCCACCGCAGGGAAUGUGAUUUGAAGAUGGGUUCGGGGUGACAUUACAGGCCCCCUUUAGGCUCUGCUGGUUGCAGGCCAGCUCUCUGGGGUGCCUUUCUGAUGGCUGCUAUUUUAAAGGCAGAUAGGAUGACAUUAACAACUUUUAUCAUUCAACUAGCAAGGGCUCAGGACGGGCAGCCCCCUUCUGGGAAUGUGCCUAACUCCUGCCCCAGAAUGGAGGAGUCUCUGUGGCUCUAGGGGAGCUGGCCUUCUGUGGAGUCUGAGCAAUGUACUGCACAGGGAGAAGACGCUGCCAGCUGAUACCAGUGUCUCUAUGCAGAGACAUUUCCAGGACACCACGUUAAGCAGCAGAGACACAAGAAGUCAAGGCCCAUGUGCUCUGGUGUGGACGUGUGCCUCCUGUGCCUCAGUGGCAUCAUCUGUACCAUGGGAGGUGUGUAAUGAGGGGUGCGAUCACGACUGCAAGUGCACGUACAUAGUAGAUGCCCAGGAAGUGCCAGUCCCCAUCUCCUUCCCAGUUUCUUCAGAGCCUUCUGGAAGGCACUGGCAUAGCCCAGUCCUGAGGCAUUGCUUUUUCUUUCAUGGAUGAUCAGGAGCUUCUGUGAUUUCUUCCCCCUCACUCUUCAUUUUGCCAAGAUGUCGCCCAUAGUAACCUCAGCAGUGGAGCGGGGAUUCUGCACUGUUCCACUGCCCGGGGCUGCACAUCCACGUGAGCGGGGCCGACCCGUCCCAGAACGCUUUGCCCUUGGAAGGCAGCAUCACCUGCAGGGGCAAUGCUGUGGACAGCUCUGGCAUGUCCUCCAGGGCCCUGGCAUGGUCAGUGAGAAAAGGCCCCCAGGCGUGGGCUUCUCCCAUCAGUCAGGUUCAGAAGGCUUCCUGGGGUAAGUAGAGACGCUCCCUACCCAACUGAGUUGUUAAAAUGACAGGAGGGAGAGGGGAAGGUCUGGGCCUGUGGCACUGUGAUUUUUUUUCUUUCUUUCUUUUUUUUUUUUUUGGAGACUCGUUGGGGUAGAAAUGAGGACAGGAAGAAGUACAAUCCGUCUGGGAUUGGUUUAUUUUUAUUGCUUUUUAAAAUCAUGUGACUAAUUGGUGUUCAUUGAAAAAGAGAAAACAAAAAUAAGCCAAGAGAAGACAGCAAAAAUAGUCUGUUAACAUCUUGGCAAAUAUCCUUUUUCUCUGCAUAGAAACAGAGAAUACUUUUGUUUCACUUAUAAAAUGUUUCUUGCUGUACACAGCUUUAUAACCUGCUUUUUUCUUAAUGGAACAAUAUACUAGGACAUGUUUUCAGGCCAACAGAUAAAUAUACUUCACUUGCAUUGAUGCUAUUGGCA
ensembl:lncRNA